rnacentral:rRNA from 1 species
UACGAAGGGGGCUAGCGUUGCUCGGAAUUACUGGGCGUAAAGCGCACGUAGGCGGAUUGUUAAGUCGGGGGUGAAAUCCUGGAGCUCAACUCCAGAACUGCCUUCGAUACUGGCGAUCUCGAGUUCGGGAGAGGUGAGUGGAACUGCGAGUGUAGAGGUGAAAUUCGUAGAUAUUCGCAAGAACACCAGUGGCGAAGGCGGCUCACUGGCCCGAUACUGACGCUGAGGCACGAAAGCGUGGGGAAGCAACAGGG